CCUUUCCUAGUCUAGUCUAAUUGGUUGAUCGCUUCAAACCCCUAAUUUCAGUGGCCUUAUGCAAAUACACACCCAGCCAUGCCCUGUAUUAAACUUCGUUUAGCUUUUGGAUCCCUGUCUGUCUGAUUAGGACUCGUUUUUUACUUAGAAAAAAAAAAAAGAAGAGAAUAGCACAUUGUUUCCCAUUUUCACUCUGUUGGUCAAGUUGACCCGUGCUGUCUCCAAGAAACAAAGGGUGUGACCGCUCUGGCAAAUAUAAGAGAUCCCGUAAAUUUAAUUCCACUCAUCUCAAUAUUGAUACUCUCCUCUUAACUUGUUGAUAUUUUCUCCGCCGCAGAUCUCUAACUUGUCUACUUGUGCUACUAUGGGUCGUCAUGAUUUUCUUAAUUUAUUACACUAAGAACAUGAGCCGUGAGUAUACUUGGCUUGGAACCUGGAGUUUCAGAUUCCGACAUUUAUAGAAGAAGGGCUGUCCAUUCAAUACCAUCCUCAUCCAGGUCCAAAUGCUUUCUUCUCUUCUCGUUGAUACUUCCUCCCUUUUUUUUUUAAUUAUUAUUACGGCUGCACCUCACCUCACAGUUUUAGGCCAACAAAUAUUUUGUGGAGUCCAUCUCUAAAGCAUACCAGGCUUUGACUGACCCAGUAUCCCGUGAAAACUUUGAAAGGUAUGGGUCAUCCAGGGCUUUCAAAUGGGCAUUGCUCUUCCUCAAUUUCUCCUUGACAUAGAUGGAGCAUCCGGUGGCAUAUUAUUGCUCUGGAUUGUCGGUCAAAGGUGGCUUGUGAGCUAAGUUUGGACCCCAAGAACAUGAAGCAAGAGCAAGCUAAAGUUUUGGAAGCAGCAUCCUGCCAUAGUGAAGACGGAGCUGUUGAUACAGGCCCAACACUAGUCCUAAAUGGCAGGACAUUCUAGGGCAAUAUUCUAUGGUGAAUCUCGAGCUCUUUAACAUUGUGGAAGAGGUGAAGAAAGUCUCCAAGGCCUUUGUUGUGCUUCUAGUCAAUGCUGAGAAUGCUCAAAGUUGGGAUCGGGUGAAAAAAUCUUGCUUUACAGGAAGAUAUGAGAACGUAUAUACCAGACAUACAGAACAAUCACAAAGAGAGAAACAUUAAAGGAGGAUCAAAUUGAAUCAUACACGAGUUGCAAGGCUUAACGCUGUAAGUAGAGAUGUCUUAACCAACGGGGAUGACCAGCAGCGAUGUAAGAUUGGAAAUGAUUCUCUUUAAUGACACUUUCAGCAAUAAGAGAUGCUCCUUUGAUGUCGCAGCGUUUCAGAAACUGAACCCGCCAAUCCAAAAAAAUACU